UGUGCCCAGCGCUGAAUAAACAUACCUACUUUACAAUCUAUCAGAUUGUGGAGUCUGUUUUCCGCACGUCAGUUUUGGCGAGCCAGGCAGGAGACUCUCUGCUCGACUGCGGGAUCGACUGCAGGGCGGACUCUCCCAGGCGCGCCCCGAGCACUUUCCUCAGAGGAGCCUCCGCUACCAGCCGCUCACCGUGGGAGCAGACAAGGACUUCCUGAAGCCGCGGACUAAACGGUGUGUUCAAGGAUAGGAGCCUGUAAGUCGUACGCGUGGCUGGGGCAGCUGGUAAAUCGCGCAGAGACGUCUGGCGUGCAGCUAAGCCAGUCUCUUACAGAGAAAACCUUGGAGCCACAGUGGGAAGGGCCAUUCCAGGUGCUGCUCACGACGUUUACAGCCAUCAAGAUUAGGGAAUACUCGGCCUGGAUACAUCACACCCGAGUAAAGAAAGCCCAUAAAUCCCCAUGGAAAGUUACCCAAGUUCGGCCAGGAAGAUUACGCUUCUCACGAUAAGUCUGAUAAUCAUUUUUCCUCUAAUGCAUAGUCGAAGGUUCAGUGAAUGGCCAUGGUCCCAGGCUUACAUUGGGCAUACUAAUAAGACUAGAAAUGUGAGCAACCACACGUUGGCUACUAUAGUUAUGCAGGGGACAAAUGUGCCCACAAAAGAAGAAUGGGAUGCCUAUCCAGGAGAACCACAAUUGCAGGGAACAUUGGGACAAGAAAUUAAAAUUCAGAUGCAGAGCAUUUAAUAGCUCUACUUACUGGGCAGGAAAACAAAGGCUGUUUGGGACAAAGCCACCAAUUUUGAAAGGAGAUUCCAAUCUUGGUGGACUAUGGUGAAUUUUACUUAUGACCCCACUACUAACAUAGCUACUGCCUUUGUGCUCACUAUACAUAAUGCCACAGUUUAUGUAAUCCACCCCAUCAUU